UACGUAGGGUGCAAGCGUUAAUCGGAAUUACUGGGCGUAAAGCGUGCGCAGGCGGUUAUGUAAGACAGAUGUGAAAUGCCCGGGCUUAACCUGGGAACUGCAUUUGUGACUGCAUGGCUAGAGUUUGGCAGAGGGGGUAGAAUUCCACGUGUAGCAGUGAAAUGCGUAGAUAUGUGGAGGAACACCGAUGGCGAAGGCAGCCCCUGGGUCAAGACUGACGCUCAUGCACGAAAGCGUGGGAGCAAACAGG
rnacentral:rRNA from 1 species